rnacentral:rRNA from 1 species
UACAGAGGUCUCAAGCGUUGUUCGGAUUCAUUGGGCGUAAAGGGUGCGUAGGCGGCUUUGCGUGUCUUUCGUGAAAUCCCUCGGCUCAACUGAGGACGUGCGGAAGAAACUGCAGGGCUGGAGUCCGGGAGAGGAGGGUGGAAUUCCCAGUGUAGCGGUGAAAUGCGUAGAUAUUGGGAGGAACACCGGUGGCGAAGGCGGCCCUCUGGACCGGUACUGACGCUGAUGCGCGAAAGCGUGGGGAGCAAACGGG